rnacentral:rRNA from 1 species
AACGAACGCUGGCGGCAGGCUUAACACAUGCAAGUCGAGCGCCUCGCAAGAGGAGCGGCAGACGGGUGAGUAACGCGUGGGAACGUACCCUUAUCUUCGGAAUAGCUCUGGGAAACUGGCAGUAAUACCGAAUGUGCCCUUAGGGGGAAAGAUUUAUCGGAUAAGGAUCGGCCCGCGUUGGAUUAGCUAGUUGGUGGGGUAAAGGCCUACCAAGGCGACGAUCCAUAGCUGGUCUGAGAGGAUGAUCAGCCACAUUGGGACUGAGACACGGCCCAAACUCCUACGGGAGGCAGCAGUGGGGAAUAUUGGACAAUGGGCGCAAGCCUGAUCCAGCCAUGCCGCGUGAGUGAUGAAGGCCUUAGGGUUGUAAAGCUCUUUCACCGGAGAAGAUAAUGACGGUAUCCGGAGAAGAAGCCCCGGCUAACUUCGUG